GCUAAUUUUAAGCCCUACCAAAUCAAUAAAAUACAAAACUAACUUGUUUAUACUUUAAAACAUUGACUAAUCAUAGUAUAGGUGAUAGAAAAGAUACUAAUGGAGCUAUAACGAAAGUACCGUAAGGGAAAUAUGAAAGAAUAAUUAAAGCACAAAUAAGCAAAGAUUAUUACUUGUACCUUUUGCAUAAUGAAUUAGCUAGACAAACUGGGCAAAAAGAAUUACGUCCAUCUCCCCGAAAUUAAGUGAGCUACUAUAGAACAGCAAAUAAGAGCCAACUCAUCUAUGUAGCAAAAUAGUGAGAAGAUUUUAUAGUAGAGGUGAAAAGCCUAUCGAACUUAAAGAUAGCUGGUUAUCCAAAACAUGAAUUUAAGUUCAACUUUAAAUUUAAUAAACGUAACUAUAUACCAAACUUAAAUUUAAAAGUUAAUCAAAAGGGGGACAACUCUUUUGAUUUAGUAAACAAACUUUAUUAGAGGGUAAUGACACUUAUAUAACAAAAUCAUAGUUGGCUUAAAAGCAGCCAUCAAUUAAGAAAGCGUUAAAGCUCAAAUAACCCAAUACCUUAAUUCCUAUAAAUUACCAAAACCCCUAAAACAAUAUUGGAUAAUUCUAUUAUAAUAUAGAAGACAUAAUGCUAAUAUUAGUAACAUGAACUAAUUCUCCAUGCACAAGUUUAUAUUAGUAACGGAAAAACCACUAAUAAUUAACAAACCAAUAAAUGCAAUCCCAAUACUAGCAAAUUAUUGAAACUAUUGUUAACCCAACACAGGUGUGCACAAAUUACUAUUAUAGGAAAGAUUAAAAAGAAUAAAAGGAACUCGGCAAACUAAAACCCCGCCUGUUUACCAAAAACAUCACCUCUAGAAUUAAUAUUAUUAGAGGCACUGCCUGCCCAGUGAGUUCAACUUCAACGGCCGCGGUAUCCUGACCGUGCAAAGGUAGCAUAAUCACUUGUCUCUUAAAUAGAGACUUGUAUGAAUGGCAUAACGAGGGUUUAACUGUCUCUUAUUCUUAAUCAGUGAAAUUGACCUCUCCGUGCAGAGGCGGAGAUAAACAUACAAGACGAGAAGACCCUGUGGAGCUUAAGACUAAUAAAUUAAUUCAACUCACUAUUAAAUCCAAGGAAGCAAUAUAAUGAAAUAUAACUUAUAGUCUUUGGUUGGGGUGACCUCGGAGUACAAAAUAACCUCCGAAUGAUAUAACUAAGAUUUACAAAUCUAAGUGUAAUAAUACCAGUAAUUGACCCAUAUUUUGAUCAACGGACCAAGUUACCCCAGGGACAACAGCGCAAUCCUAUUUAAGAGCCCAUAUCGACAAUUAGGGUUUACGACCUCGAUGUUGGAUCAGGACAUCCAAAUGGUGCAACCGCUAUUAAUGGUUCGUUUGUUCAACGAUUAAAGUCCUACGUGAUCUGAGUUCAGACCGGAGAAAUCCAGGUCGGUUUCUAUCUGUAUAUUUAUUUCUCCCAGUACGAAAGGACAAGAGAAAUAAGGCCAACAUUAACAGAUGAGCCUUAGAAUUAACAUAUGAAAUUAUCUUAAUAUUCUCAUUCAAUAUUUACCUACUCUAGAAAAGAGUU
rnacentral:rRNA from 1 species